rnacentral:tRNA from 1 species
GGUUAUAGCUCAGUGUUAGAGGGCUUGCCUAGCAUGCAUGAGGCUCUGGGUUUGAUCCCAGUACCACCA